GAAAUGACUGAACAUCCCCGUGUAGCAGAUGAGGAAGAGGAGGCCCAGAGACAACAUAGCGUCCAAGCUCCUACCCACUGUGUCACACUGCCCCCUGCUGAGCGCCUACUAAGUGCCAGGCUCUAGAAAAGAGUGGUGUUUGAGACAUUCCAAGGAGCUUCUGUUUGCGUCAGGACAAGUCAAAGGAGAAUGGACACAUAAGUCUACUGGAUUAGAGGCUUUCCCUAAAAUGCAUAAUAAAGGCAAGCUCACUCUA